AUAUAUAUUUCAGAUCAAAGGUAAAAAAACAUUUCAUUCAAGAUUAGAUAUUGGGACUUUAUAGCGAAAAUAGUGAUGAGCAGAGCUCAAAAACUAGACGUAAUGGAAUAAAUCUGUUAACAGUUUUGAAUUCAGCGCACUCAAGUUAAUUGAAAUCACCUUACAGAGUUCUUGCUCUCGACUUUUUUUGUUUUUUGCCGACCAGUGUAAUCGUUUAAAGGAGUUCCAAGCUGGAUUCAGAGCUGGUUUUUCAACUUUAGAUCAAACUUUUGUAUUAACUUCUGUUGAACGCACCCAACACUGAGAAGCAGCUCAUGUAAAGGCCGAAUAAUCAACUCGUUGAAAUAUGACAAUUCAAUUGACGAGUCUGUCAUUUUUUGCUCAUCAUCUGUCACUUACUCUGUCAUUAUCAAUCGAGCAGCUGCAAAAAUAAAUUCUCCUUUCUAAAAAUAAAGUGUGUCGUGUGUUUUAUUUCUUUAUAUUAAAAGAUUUUUAAAACGAAAAGUUAAAAAAUAAAAAUAAAGGUUUACGCCACAAUCAUUGGUCCUUCGAGCCUUAAAGGUUUAAUUCGAAAAAUAUAGUCUAUUAAAGUGGAUGUUAAAGGAUUAACCAAAGUGUGUGGUUCUAAGUGUGAUAUAAGAGAGAAAUAUUCAUCACGAGGAGAAGACGCCAUUUUGCCGCUUUCAAAAUGAAACAUAAAUUUGAAACAUUAUUUCCAACAAAAAACCAAGAUAAAAAACCACAUCUUUUGCCCGGGGAGAAUGUUGAACGCACCCAACACUGAGAAGCAGCUCAUGUAAAGGCCGAAUAAUCAACUCGUUGAAAUAUGACAAUUCAAUUGACGAGUCUGUCAUUUUUUGCUCAUCAUCUGUCACUUACUCUGUCAUUAUCAAUCGAGCAGCUGCAAAAAUAAAUUCUCCUUUCUAAAAAUAAA